CCUGGUGUUACACAGAAAAUUCCCACUGACUGUCUAAUUUCACAUAUGGUAGUGUAUAUGUUUCAAUGCUACUCUCUCACAGACAGAGGACAGAAUUGUGGAAAGAGUCGGGGAAGGAGAAGGUGGGAUGAAUUGAGAGAGCGUGGCAUCACUAGCCAUUCUGACCUGAUCGGGAGCUGCAGACACCUAGGCGCCUUUGGAAAAGUUAACAGAAGCUGCCAGGGGACCUGUCUGUGGGUCUUCUUGGUUAAGAACCUAAUUUAGUUCAUCAGAAUUGACUGGUUUCAUAAUCCACACUCUUUUCUUGAACUAAAUAAAUUAGGGACAGGAUGUAGGGCAUUUAUGAUAGCCCCUGAAAUUUGUUUUUUUAGCACAUAUCAAGAGGCGAUCAAUCCAUAAAUAGAGAGGGAAUGAACAAAAUGAAUUCUCUGCGCAUGGCUGUCGAUUUCCUGGUAGAAUUCCUCUAGCAUCUCCAGGAAAUGUCGCCCUUACUUGUGUGUGUGUCUGCCAGGCCUGCCAGUUCUGAGUCAGCCACGGGAGGGGUUGGUCUCAGACGCGCUCACCAUAUGACAUGUCAGGCAGAUCAAAGCAGGGAUUUCAGGAAGGACUACAAGGGGAAAUGGUUAGUAAUUAAUAAAAGGAUGUGGAAUUGGUCAUGUUGACUGAAAGAGCCCAGAACCUUGGCGAAAGUUUUCCAGAGGCUGCCAAGAUAAAAAGAGUGGCCGCACUGAGUUAUAUUGGGGGUGAAGAUUUUAGGUGUUAAUGCCUUUGAGCGAGGGGAGCUGAGAAAGACGUUGACUCUCACCCAGGCCACGGGCUCACCUAUUAUGAGAGCCUCUUCAGCUCCAGCCACAGUUUUGGUUUGUUUUGAAAUGGAGGUUUUAGGUGCCGUAAGGGACCUGCAAAAACUUGAUAAUGAUGUUUAAUUUUGAGAGUCAAGCUGUGGUUUCUCAUUUGGCUUCUCAUGGUUUCUGGCUUCUCAUGGCUUCACGUCAAUGUGUUUUGUUUCCAGACUGAAGAUCAAAGAAACUUUUUCCCUUGCACUUGCUGACUUUUCCCCCUUGUGUUGGGUCUAAUGCACGGAUGAAACUAAAUAACCCCCUCCCCUGGAAUAUGUAUGUAUCUCCUGGCUCCUCCACCAUGGCUGUGGCCACUGAACACUUUUUGGUAGCUUGGUGUUGAGGAGUAGAAUGUGGGAAGGGAGGUGACACAGAUAAUGGGUGUUGGGAGAAAGCAUAUUAGAGGUGACUCCCAUCUCACUAAGGGGACUUGGCAAGUUUUGCCUAACCAGGUUAAGACCCGAGAGUGUUAGAAGGUCUGGAUGCUGCUGCUGCUGCUGUGUGUGUGUAUUCUUGGGAGUUGGCAAACAAAGCAUGGAACCUCCAAGUAAAUUUCCCACUGAUUGCUUGGGAGACUUGUGAGCUUAUAAAUGGCCUCAUUGUGUUUUUAAGCCAUUAUCCCAAGGGAGUGGGAUAUUUUCAAUAUUCAUAAAUAUCUCAGGCUGUGAUGUCCCUUUAAGAGUGGAGUCUAUGGAUCUUAACCAAGUGACAGUGUGGUUUCUUAACUUCUGGAUGAUUCCCCCAUCCCUUCUUCUUUGCCCUCCCUCAGUCCUCUUCCAGCUCCUGAAAGUGAAAGUGUUAGUCGUUUAGUCCUGUCUGACUCUUUUUGAUGCCAUGGACUGUAGCCCACCAGGCUCCGCUGUCCAUGGGAUUCUCCAGGCAAGAAUACUAGAAUGGGAUGCCAUGUUCUUCUCCAGAGGAUCUUCCCGACCCACGGAUUGAACCUGGGUCUUCUGCAAAGUAGGCAGAUUCUUUACCAUCUAAGCCACCUGGGAAGCCCUGCCAACCCCCAAAUAGAUCUAUGCUGUGGAUGGCCUGGUUACUCUCUGACUCAAACUGCCCGUUUGGGCCCAGAAGCCUAUCUGAGAGACCCCUGCUGUGGAGAGGAGGGAGUACAGCUCUCUGUUCCAGGAGGCAGAUACUUCACCAAAUGAGGCACCAGGGAAGCCCUUAUUGAUAGGAAGCACCACCAGACUGGGUUGAAAGAGACAAAAUAAAGCUCCAACUUGUACGGGUAGGAAGUAGGCUGAGAAAGCUACAGCAUCGAUGGAGUGUUCUUACGGAAAACAAAGGAUGUUACAGGAAGAGACGACAGUCCAGAGGGUGCAGCCAACAUCCACCAGAGAGUCCAGGGCCCUAGAAAGAAACUUCGCCAUCUGUACAGCUGGAGCACAGAAUUGCUUUGCAACUGUGCUGAUGCAGCCUCUUGUUUCUCCCUUUUUUGAACAGGAGUGUCUACUGUGGUUAUUCUGUGCUCGUCCCACCAAUGUGUGUGGAGUACGUGUCUGCAUGUAGGGUUGAAAAUAACUAGCCUCUAUCAGUUCAGUUCAGUUGCUCAGUUGCUCAGUUGUGUCUGACUCAUUGCAACUCCAUGGACUGCAGCAUGCUAGGCUUCCCUGUCCAUCACCAAGUCCCAGAGCUUGC